rnacentral:rRNA from 1 species
GAUGAACGCUGGCGGCGUGCUUAACACAUGCAAGUCGAACGAUGAAAGCAAGAGCUUGCUCUUGCUGGAUUAGUGGCGAACGGGUGAGUAACACGUGAGCAAUCUGCCCCGAACUCUGGGAUAAGCGUUGGAAACGACGUCUAAUACCGGAUACGACGCGCGAAGGCAUCUUCUGCGCGUGGAAAGAAUUUCGGUUCGGGAUGAGCUCGCGGCCUAUCAGCUAGUUGGUGAGGUAACGGCUCACCAAGGCGACGACGGGUAGCCGGCCUGAGAGGGGGACCGGCCACACUGGGACUGAGACACGGCCCAGACUCCUACGGGAGGCAGCAGUGGGGAAUAUUGCACAAUGGGCGAAAGCCUGAUGCAGCAACGCCGCGUGAGGGACGACGGCCUUCGGGUUGUAAACCUCUUUUAGUAGGGAAGAAGCGAAAGUGACGGUACCUGCAGAAAAAGCACCGGCUAACUACGUGCCAGCCGCCGCGGUAAUAC